AAAAAAGUCAUUUGUUCUUUAGUUGCUUCCAAGGUGUCUUGACUUGUGAAAAUCCACAUAAGUGAUCUCUUUCUUGAUUUGAAACAUAUAAUCAAGUAGAACUAAAAAAAGUUUGAUAACAAGGGGUAUACAAAAAGACGAUACAUAAUAGCAUUCCAGAGGGGUAAUCCAAACUGCAGGCAUUAGGCAUCUUCCAUUACAUCUUGAGCAAAUAUUAUAAGGGCAAGGAAAAAUAUCUACCAUGGGAAGUUCAACAUAAACCUAUACAACCAAUCCAAAAUACAAACCUUCUCACAUCCCUAAAGGCUAACAUGAAGGGAAAGGUGUUAACCUAAAUGACCCCAUAGAGAGAGAUCUGCAAGAUGGAUCCUCAGAAGAAAGGCGAAAACAAUUUAGCCAGACAAUCCUGUCAGCUUGCCAGCACAGAUAGCAUCCGAUGAAAUUCAACAGAAAUUAACAUUUGAAACCAUGACAGACGGAUAACACUAUGAUCAGAAUCAAGGCAAUGAUAAUACCCAAAACAAUCAAUUUUAUCUUCAUAUUCUGAAUCCACAUCUUCCUUCUCAUCUUAGUUCCCUGUUGUCUGAAGUCUUGUGCCUGUGAACGAAGGUUCUCAGUUUUAUCCACCAGCAGCUCAAUCUUUUCACCGCGAUCAAGAACCUUCUCAAUGUUUUCCAUCAUCACACCCUUAACUUCGGAAACUUGAGCCUUCACUUUUGCAAGUUUGCUGAUCUCUUCAGGAUGAUCCACACAAUACUGCAUGUGCUCCUUCAGUUUGGACCCAAACUCUCUAUUCAGGCUCUUGGCCUGAGCAGUUGCAGCUUUUCCUCCACCAUAUUUCUUGGUGAAAUCCUCCUUGAUCCGCUCAAGGAAGGCAAUUGGAACC
rnacentral:misc_RNA from 1 species